GACGAACGCUGGCGGCGUGCUUAACACAUGCAAGUCGAACGAUGAACCGGUUUCGGCCGGGGAUUAGUGGCGAACGGGUGAGUAACACGUGGGCAAUCUGCCCUGCACUCUGGGAUAAGCCCGGGAAACUGGGUCUAAUACCGGAUACGACACUCCGAGGCAUCUUGGGGUGUGGAAAGUUCCGGCGGUGCAGGAUGAGCCCGCGGCCUAUCAGCUUGUUGGUGGGGUAAUGGCCUACCAAGGCGACGACGGGUAGCCGGCCUGAGAGGGUGACCGGCCACACUGGGACUGAGACACGGCCCAGACGCCUACGGGAGGCAGCAGUGGGGAAUAUUGCACAAUGGGCGAAAGCCUGAUGCAGCGACGCCGCGUGAGGGAUGACGGCCUUCGGGUUGUAAACCUCUUUCAGCAGGGAAGAAGCGAAAGUGACGGUACCUGCAGAAGAAGCACCGGCUAACUACGUG
rnacentral:rRNA from 1 species